rnacentral:lncRNA from 10 species
GUUUAACCUCUGUGGAAAACAGUAUGGAUCUAUCUUAAAUAACUAAAAGUAGAAUUACCAUUCAACUCAGUAUUCCCACUACUAGAUAUCUAUCCAAAGGAAAUGAUAUCAUUACAUAAAAAAUACACUUGCACUCGUAUGUUUAUUGCAGCACUACUGACAAAAGCAAAGCCAUAGGAACCAACUUAGGUGUCCACCAAUGGUUGACUGGCUAAAGAAAAUGUGAUGCAUAUAUACCACAGAAUACUAUGCAGCCAUAAAAAGAACGAAAUCAUGUGUUUUGCAGCAAUAUGAAUAGAGCUGAAAACAUUGUCCUCAGUGAACUAACUCAGAAGCAGAAAAAUAUUGCAUGUUGUCACUCAUAAGUGGGAGCUAAACAAUAGGAACACAUGGACCUAAAGAUGGAGAUAAUAGACACUGGAGACUCCAAAAAGUGGGGAGGAUGAGAAGGAGCAAUAUGAAUAGAGCUGAAAGCAUUGUCCUCAGUGAACUAACUCAGAAGCAGAAAAAUAUUGCAUGUUGUCACUCAUAAGUGGGAGCUAAACAAUAGGAACACAUGGACGUAAAGAUGGAGCAAUGUGGGCAACAGCCCACAUUGGUCUCGAACUCCUGGCCACAAUCCUUGUGCCACAGCCUUCCAAAUUACUGGGAUUACAGGUAUGAGCCACUGUGUCUGGCCAUUUUUUUAAAAAAUGUGUUUCCUAACUUGACUUAGAGGUUCAUCUGAAAUUCCAACUAUUAUUUUAUGUGCUGAUCUUGUUGACUAAUUCCUGGUAACUUUAUCCUCUUUUCCUGCAAUAGCAAAAUUCCCUACAUCUGAGGGCAAACUUCUUCUUGUAUUUACUUGUUCCACACAGUGCAUGCAUUCAACAGGUCUCUGUCAUUUCAU